CCAAGGCCUGCCCUCUCGGCAGGAGGACGAAUGCUGGGGAGGCAGAGACCGCGCUGCCCUGGGCACAUGCCCAUUCCCCUGGAGCCCCAGGCCCUGCUCUCCAUGCCAGGACACAGGCAGGGUCAGCAAAGGUGAAGGCGGGAACACAGGAGGCCGAGAGCCACAGAUACUGCCCAAGAGGAGCCUCCUGAGCGGCCAUCUGAGAGGAAGCCUCUCCCUGCCACGGACGCCCAGCAGGCCCUACCUGGCGAUGAGCAGCUCCACCAGGUGCAGGUGGCCGCAGGUGGCCGCAGCAUGCAGAGGCGUCCAACACUCACUGUCACAGGCAUUGAUGUUGGCCCCAGCCUCCAGGAGCUGCUGCACCAUCUCUCGGAAAUCAUCAAUGCAGCACUGCAAACCGUGCCACGUGAGCGACCAGAGCACGGGGGCCAACCCCCACCCUGCCCACACCCAGUGCAGGCUGACCUGGUGCAGGGCCGUCAGGCCGUCCUCGUUGGCCAAGUCAGGGCUAACCCCACUCCCAAGGAACUGGCGGACUGCAAAAAGGUGGCGAGGCCUCCCGGGAGGGCUCCUGUCCACAUGGGAAGAUGCAGGCCAGACACUGCCGGCUCCUCUUUACUCUCUGCUCCGGAGGGAGGCAGGAAGGAGUCUCAAGGGCCACCACAGUGCCUCUUCCCCCCAGACCCCAGAGCACCAGAAGUGGAACCCACACAGCUGGGGCUGCAAGCGUGGGGCACAGAUCAUUUCGGGCAGCGGCCUCCAGAAGGACAACACUGGGAGGGAAGAGGACCUGCUUCAGGGGCCCUUGGCUGGCUGCCUCC
rnacentral:antisense_RNA from 1 species